rfam:Gossypium arboreum cultivar AKA8401 contig_44521_1, whole genome shotgun sequence.
AACCUAUGAUGAGGGCACCAUCUCAAUAGGUCCUUUUACCUCUCCUAUGCAUCAUAUAGGGUUUCUAAGUUGAUUUGAACAAAGGAAGAAGUAUCAUUAGUUAACUU